UCAAGCACCUAAGGGUGCUCGGUGGAUGGUUAGGCUAUCAGAGGCGAUGAAGGACGUGCUAAGCUGCGAAAAGUCUGGGGGAGCUGCACCGAAGCGACGAUCCCGGAAUGUCCGAAUGGGGCAACCCACUGAGGUGAACCCUCAGUAUCCUUCUCACGAAGGAAGCAAACCUGGUGAAUUGAAACAUCUUAGUAGCCAGAGGAAAAGAAAUCGACGAGAUUCCGCCAGUAGCGGCGAGCGACAACGGAAGAGGCCAAACCAAGGGGCUUGCUCCUUGGGGUUGUAGGGCCAGCGAUAUGGGAUCUCACAACGCGAGCAGAAGGAUCUGGAAAGAUCCGCCACAGAGGGUGAUAGGCCCGUACGCGUAGCGAAGUGAGCCCUAGCUGGUACCUGAGUAACGCAAGACUCGUGAAAUCCUGCGUGAAUCUGGGGCGACCACGCUCUAAGCCUAAAUACUCCUGAUAGACCGAUAGUGAACGAGUAGCGCGAGCGAAUACUGAAAAGCACCCCUGGCGGGGAGUGAAACAGACCCUGAAACCGAGCACUUACAAGCAGUCGUAGGACUAUGGCCUCUUAGCAAUAAGAGAGUCCAGUCUGGCGGCGUGCCUUUUGCAUAAUGACCCAGCGACUUACCGUCAGCUGCAAGCUUAAGGACUUACGGUCUGGAGGCGAAGCGAAAGCGAGUGUGAAUAGCGCGUUGAGUAGUUGGCGGUAGACCCGAAACUUAGUGAUCUAUCCAUGAGCAGGUUGAAGCGGCAGUAACAUGUCGUGGAGGACCGAACUGGUAAACCUUGAGAAGUUUUCGGAUGACUUGUGGAUAGGAGUAAAAGGCUAAUCAAACUGAGAGAUAUCUGGUUCUCCUCGAAAUAUAUAUAGGUAUAGGCUUGGGCGUGUAGUCAUCGGGGGUAGAGCACUGAAUGGGCUAGGGGCCUCACCGGGUUACCAAACCCAAUCAAACUCCGAAUACCGAUGACCGAACCCCAGGGCUCAGACAGUGGGGUAGAAUCUUCAUUGUCAAAAGGGAAAGAACCCAGACCAACAGCUAAGGUCCCAAAAUAACGCUCAGUGGUAAAGGAAGUGAUUGUGCUCAGACAGCCGGGAUGUUGGCUUAGAAGCAGCCACCAUUUAAAGAGUGCGUAACAGCUCACCGGUCGAUGCACGAUCGUGCCGAAAAUAAUCGGGGCUUAAGCGUUAUACCGAAGCUUUGGCUGCGCUGAUCUCUGCGGAGAUUCGCGCGGGGUAGGGGAGCGUUGUCUACAGGCUGAAGGCAUACGGCGACGAAUGCUGGACAGUAGACAAGUGAUUAUGCUGGGAUGAGUAACGAUAAAACAGGUGAGAAUCCUGUUCACCGUAAGCCUAAGGUUUCCUCCGCAAGGUAAGUCCGCGGAGGGUCAGGCGGCCCCUAAGGCGAGGCCGAAAGGCGUAGUCGAUGGAUUGCCGGUUAAUAUUCCGGCCCUUCUCACGAGGUGCCCACGGAGAACGCAGGAGACUAAGAUGGUGGAGGCUGAAGCUGCCCCACAUCGGUAUCGAGUUUGCCCUUUUGAAAGAUGGGGCGCACAUUCGGUAUCGAUCAAGAGCCUUGUGCUUUAUAGGCAUCUGAUGUCACCCUGUCGAGAAAAGCCCGUCGGGAGAUAACGUUGUGGGAAACCGUACUAAAACUGACACAGGUAGGCGAGGAGAGUAUCCUCAGGUGCGCGAGAGAACUCUGGUUAAGGAACUCGGCAAAUUCACUCCGUACGUUCGCAAGAAGGAGUGCCGGCGCAAGCCGGCCGCAGUGAAGAGGCCCAACCGACUGUUUACUAAAAACACAGUUCUGUGCAAACUCGUAAGAGGACGUAUACGGAAUGAUGCCUGCCCGGUGCUCGAAGGUUAAGGGGAGUGGUUAGUCGCAAGACGAAGCUACGAACUCAAGCCCGAGUAAACGGCGGCCGUAACUAUGACGGUCCUAAGGUAGCGAAAUUCCUUGUCGGGUAAGUUCCGACCUGCAUGAAAGGCAUAACGAGUUGGGCACUGUCUCAACCAGAGACUCGGUGAAAUUGCAAUAUCGGCGAAGAUACCGAUUACCCGCAGCAGGACGAAAAGACCCCGUGGACCUUUACUGCAGCCUAAUACUGUGUUUCUGUGACUCAUGCGUAGGAUAGGUGGGAGGCGUUGAUCUCGUGGUUCCGGCUACGAGGGAGCCAACGGUGAAAUACCACUCUUGAGUCAUGGGAAUUCUAACCUGGCCUUUGUACGGCUGGGAACACUGUUAGGCGGGCAGUUUGGCUGGGGCGGCUUCCUCCCAAAGAGUAACGGAGGAGCACAAAGGUUAGCUCAGUACGGUUGGCAAUCGUACGUGGAGUGCAAGAGCAUAAGCUAGCUUAACUGCGAGACUGAUCAGUCGAGCAGACGCGAAAGCGGGUUCUAGUGAUCCGGUGGUUCCAAGUGGACGGGCCAUCGCUCAACAGAUAAAAGGUACCCCGGGGAUAACAGGCUGAUCUCCCCCAAGAGUCCCUAUCGACGGGGAGGUUUGGCACCUCGAUGUCGGCUCAUCGCAUCCUGGAGCUGGAGAAGGUUCCAAGGGUAUGGCUGUUCGCCAUUUAAAGCGGUACGCGAGCUGGGUUUAAACCGUCGUGAGACAGGUUGGUCUCUAUCCGCUGUGGGCGCAGGUCAAUUGACGGGACUUUUCAUUAGUACGAGAGGAUUAUGAAGAACGUCGCUCUGGUGUACCGGUUGUUCCGCUCGGAGCAGCGCCGGGUAGCCACCGACGGACGGGAUAAACGCUGAAAGCAUCUAAGCGUGAAGCCCACCCGAAGAUUAAUUGACCCUAUGAGUGCCCUGGAAGACUACCAGGUUGAUAGGUUGGAGGUGUACGCGCGUAUAUCUAAAGGCGCUCAGCUGACCAAUACUAAUCGCACCAUCGGCUUGAUCGU
rnacentral:rRNA from 1 species